rnacentral:rRNA from 1 species
UACGUAGGGUGCAAGCGUUGUCCGGAAUUAUUGGGCGUAAAGAGCUCGUAGGCGGUCUGUUGCGUCGGCUGUGAAAACCCGGGGCUCAACUCCGGGCCUGCAGCCGAUACGGGCAGACUAGAGUUCGGCAGGGGAGACUGGAAUUCCUGGUGUAGCGGUGAAAUGCGCAGAUAUCAGGAGGAACACCGGUGGCGAAGGCGGGUCUCUGGGCCAUUACUGACGCUGAGGAGCGAAAGCGUGGGGAGCGAACAGG